AGAUGAUGGAUGGAUGGAGUAAGAAAUGAUAUUCAGCCCUUUACAUAGAAAAAAAAUAGCAACAAUGAGAUGACUUUUGUUCUGUGAAGAAUCUGUAAAUGUAUUUGUAAUGACAUAGGUGGCACUUUUUAGUCCCUGUGUUCAAAUUGGCCGGAUGCUUAGAGUCGGAGCCUUUUCUUAAGAAUGUUAUGAGUUGCAGGAUUUACAAGCUUAUUUGAGAGCCACAUGUACAAAGUACACAAUAAGAUCAACUAAUUACAAGUUACAAAGUAAAUACACAAAGUAGUGCGCGAAUGAAAGCAUGUUAUUGCAAUGCAUUGAACAGGAAGUGCUUUUAUUUUGAAGUGACUGUUUGACGCCAGCUGAGCAGCGAAAAUGUCGACAAGCUAAGCUUUGAAAAGACCUGAGUUAAAAUUUUUAAGUUUGAGAGAAAUCCAUGAGCUCAAGACUUUAAAUCUCCAACUAACAUAAUUAAAUUGUUAUGAGUUAUUAAUAAGCCACAUCCAGGAAUGUACCAUGGCUAAUAAAUCAAAUGUACCAUUUUACGGGAAAAUAUGAAAAACCACCUGUCAGAGCUUCUCUCUGUGGCUUCAAGCAUAAAGACUUACCUCUAUCAAUGGAUUAAUGAGAUAAAGAUGAACUUUGACUCUCUCAGGAGUUGAAUUCUGGGACUUGAAUCACAGUUUCUUAAGUGAAAUGACCACUUAAGUGACCACUUCAUUUGUGAACAUAGUACCAUAUUAUUGGAUUGAAUCUUUCUAUUAUGAAAAGAAUCGGCAAAGAAUAAAUCAAAUUCGUAUUGAGUAAAAUAAUGGAGGAUCAGUCAAUUAUCCAUAAAGUCAACAAAAAAUAAACGGACAAAGUUGAUUUUGACACCUUAUCAGAUCUGAAUGUGUUGCAAAGAUAAACAUCAAGUAGGUUAAUUUUCUGGACAUUUUCUGUCGUAGUCCGAAUGCUAAAUGGGGCUCGGAUCCCAAUGCUUGUGUUUGUCUCAUUCCAGAGUAACCAGAAGAGUGAGCCAUCAGCGGGGGCCGGUGGCUAACGCGGAGGAGCGCGGCUGGCCUUCACUGAGUCAAAGCCAGGGGGGAAUUAUCAGCCGGAUCGCAGCAGAGCACACACGUCUGACUGAGGCGGCCCUGUAAGCCCGCGAAUCAACCUUUGUGGAUCCACUGGAAAAGGCUUUCAUCCUCUCUCGCACCCUGCGAUGCAUCAGGAGGAUCCAGGCGUUUGGGGAGCCUGCAGUCUCUCUCUCGCUCUCUGGCUGCAUGUGUUGAUGAACAAACCGGCUGCACGUGUCAGAGCUUGCCUGUUCCUGGUGGCGACUGAGGCAGCUUUCAUCCAGACACCCGGUGACGCUGUGCCUGCCACCAGCAUCAAAGCACGUCUUCUCUCCAACGCCUCGGAGAGCAUCGGGAAAAUGUCAAACGGUUUGGUUGCUUUGGGGGUAAAUCGCUGCUUCAUGUGAAGUUUGGGAGUCUGAUGACGUAUUUAAAGCUGACGAUGAACUUUCUGAGUCUUCGCAAAACACUACAAAAGACGAGUGUGUGUAACUGUAAGCGCCGCCUGCAUGACAGUAAAAUGAGCUUACCUGC